ensembl:lncRNA LINC01844 long intergenic non-protein coding RNA 1844
GAAUCUUUCUGCCAGUGUGUUAAAGUUAUUCUGAUAUUGACUGUAGUUCUGAGCUUUGUCUCUAUCCCACCAAACCACUAACUUCUGGAAAUUACUUGUAGACCAAGAUGGGAGGACUCCGUGUGUGGCUCCCUGAUGAAGACAGGCUAAUGCUAAGUCUCUUAACCAACCUGGAGGAUGGAGAAGAUGGGAGAGUGCUAUUCUUCUUCUAGGAAGCUGCAUUCCUCAACUCUUUACCUGGAUAUGAAUGACUUAUCGUGCCUGUCCAGAGUCAGGGAAAGGAGAAACAAUCUUAUUUGAGAAGGGAGGAUAUCACUGCAGUGGUUGUGAAAUCGUGUUUGGAAGCUAGAUUGCUCUAGACCACUAAGCUCUCUUCAUGUGACAAAGAAACUUCCUAAAAUACUAAAAGCUAAAGGAGAUUGUUAUCUAAGCUUGAGAUGGAAGGUUGCCAGCGGAAACUUGGAGGAUCACAGCCAGUCGCCUGGGAUUGACCACAGGGAGUGGCAGAGGCAGAAAGCAAAAGACCAGUUGCAAUUAUCCAGAAUCCUGAAUUGAGCCUGUGUUCCCAGUUCCUAGAAACCCUCAAGGUUAUUGGUUUCCUCCUCGCUUAAUAGACCAGUGGAAGAAAUCUACCUCCAGUUCUAUCUUCACAUGAGCAACUGUUUACAGUUUACAAUAUUACUCUGAAAAUCAGUUCUUUUCAAGUUUUAUCUAACACCCACCAGAAGAAACAGAAGAUUAUGAAAAUGGAAUUUGUCAAAGUUCCUCUCCCAACAAUAUGAUAUUUAAUUUUGCUAACAUUUUUUUUUGAACACUUACUAUAUUGCAGACAAUGGUCUAAGUAAAGCAUUUUAUGUGCAUCCUAUCAUGUCAUCAUCACACAGCCCUGUGAGGUAGAUACUAUUAUUAUUAACCACAUUUCACAUUCAAAAAAACUGAGGCUUAGAGAGACUAAGUAAAUUGUCCAAGGUCACACAGCCAUGAAGUGGCAGAGCUGUGGUUAAAACCUAUGUCUGUCUGAUGUUUAAGAUUUUGCUGUUAGCAUUACUUUGAAAUGACAAUAUGAGGGCAUUUUAUGUAUUUUUUUUGCCCCAAUAUGAUCUGCAGAAACUAUGUAUUUUAAGUACUACAUUUCUUUUAUUUACCAAAUUAUUGUCAGAUAAGAAACCGAAAUAAAAGUUUACAGGGUCUAGGAUUCCUCCAUAA